rnacentral:rRNA from 1 species
GCUUACCAUGCAAGUCGAACGGUGAUGCAGAGCUUGCUCUGCGGAUCAGUGGCGAACGGGUGAGUAACACGUGAGUAACCUGCCCCCGACUCCGGGAUAAGCGUUGGAAACGACGUCUAAUACCGGAUACGACCCGCGAAGGCAUCUUCUGCGGGUGGAAAGAACUUCGGUCAGGGAUGGACUCGCGGCCUAUCAGCUAGUUGGUGAGGUAACGGCCCACCAAGGCGACGACGGGUAGCCGGCCUGAGAGGGUGACCGGCCACACUGGGACUGAGACACGGCCCAGACUCCUACGGGAGGCAGCAGUGGGGAAUAUUGCACAAUGGGCGCAAGCCUGAUGCAGCAACGCCGCGUGAGGGACGACGGCCUUCGGGUUGUAAACCUCUUUUGGCAGGGAAGAAGCGAAAGUGACGGUACCUGCAGAAAAAGCACCGGCUAACUACGUGCCAGCAGCCGCGGUAAUACGUAGGGUGCAAGCGUUGUCCGGAAUUAUUGGGCGUAAAGAGCUCGUAGGCGGUUUGUCGCGUCUGCUGUGAAAACGCAAGGCUCAACCUUGCGCCUGCAGUGGGUACGGGCAGACUAGAGUGUGGUAGGGGAGAUUGGAAUUCCUGGUGUAGCGGUGGAAUGCGCAGAUAUCAGGAGGAACACCGAUGGCGAAGGCAGAUCUCUGGGCCAUUACUGACGCUGAGGAGCGAAAGCGUGGGGAGCGAACAGGAUUAGAUACCCUGGUAGUCCACGCCGUAAACGUUGGGAACUAGAUGUGGGGUCCAUUCCACGGAUUCCGUGUCGCAGCUAACGCAUUAAGUUCCC